rnacentral:rRNA from 1 species
AGGACGAACGCUGGCGGCGUGCCUAACACAUGCAAGUCGAGCGAGGAGAUCCUUCGGGAUGAUCCUAGCGGCGGACGGGUGAGUAACACGUGGGCAACCUGCCUCAUAGAGAGGAAUAGCCUUCCGAAAGGGAGAUUAAUACCUCAUAACAUUGCAGUUUCGCAUGGAACAGCAAUUAAAGGAGUAAUCCGCUAUGAGAUGGGCCCCGCGGCGCAUUAGCUAGUUGGUGAGGUAACGGCUCACCAAGGCGACGAUGCGUAGCCGACCUGAGAGGGUGAUCGGCCACAUUGGGACUGAGACACGGCCCAGACUCCUACGGGAGGCAGCAGUGGGGAAUAUUGCACAAUGGGGGAAACCCUGAUGCAAGCAACGCCGCGUGAGUGAUGACGGCCUUCGGGUUGUAAAGCUCUGUCUUCAGGGACGAUAAUGACGGUACCUGAGGAGGAAGCCACGGCUAACUACGUGCCAGCCGCAGC